rnacentral:rRNA from 1 species
AAUCGAUUCCCUGAGUAGCGGCGAGCGAAACGGGAAGAGCCCAAACCAACAAGCUUGCUUGUUGGGGUUGUAGGACACUCUAUACGGAGUUACAAAAGUAUAUAUUAGACGAAUCAUCUGGAAAGUUGAAUCAAAGAAGGUAAUAAUCCUGUAGUCGAAAAUAUAUACUCUCUUGAGUGGAUCCUGAGUACGACGGAGCACGUGAAAUUCCGUCGGAAUCUGGGAGGACCAUCUCCU